rnacentral:rRNA from 1 species
GACGAACGCUGGCGGCGUGCCUAAUACAUGCAAGUUGAGCGCUGAAGCUUUGUACUUGUACCAACUGCGUGAGCCGCGCACGGGUGAGUAACGCGUGUGGAAUCUGCCUUUGAGCGGGGGACAACCUUUGGAAACGAAUGCUAAUACCGCAUAAACACUUUAUACACAAGUUUUAAGGUUGAAAGAUGCCAUUGCAUCACUCAAAGAUGAUCCCGCGUUGUAUUAGCUAGUUGGUGAGGUACAGGCUCACCAAGGCGAUGAUACAUAGCCGAACUGAGAGGGUGAUCGGCCACAUUGGGACUGAGACACGGCCCAAACGCCCAGGGGAGGCAGCAGGAGGGCAACUGCGGCAAUGGACGAGAGUCUGAGCGAGAAACGCCGCAUGAGUGAAGAAGGUUGUCGGAUGGUAAAACUCGGUUGGUAGGGAAGAACGUGGGUGAGAGUGGAAAGCUCAUCAAGUGACGGUAACGGGUCAGAAAGCAACGGCUAACUACGUG